UACGUAGGCAGCAAGCGUUGUUCGGAAUUACUGGGCGUAAAGAGUGUGUAGGCGGUGCUCUAAGUUUGGUGUGAAAUCUCCCGGCUCAACCGGGAGGCUGCAUCGAAUACUGGAAUGCUAGAGGGUGGGAGAGGUAAGCGGAAUUCCUGGUGUAGCGGUGAAAUGCGUAGAUAUCAGGAGGAACACCGGUGGUGUAGACGGCUUUCUGGACCGUAACUGACGCUGAGACACGAAAGCGUGGGUAGCAAACAGG
rnacentral:rRNA from 1 species